rnacentral:rRNA from 1 species
UACGUAGGGGGCUAGCGUUGUCCGGAUUUAUUGGGCGUAAAGAGCGUGUAGGCGGCCAGGUAGGUCCGGUGUGAAAACUCGAGGCUUAACCUCGAGAUGUCAUCGGAAACCAUCUGGCUAGAGUCCGGAAGAGGAAAGUGGAAUUCCUGGUGUAGCGGUGAAAUGCGCAGAUAUCAGGAGGAACACCAAUUGCGAAGGCAGCUCGCUGGGACGUUACUGACGCUGAGACGCGAAAGCGUGGGGAGCGAACAGG